rnacentral:rRNA from 1 species
GUCAUGAUCCUGGCGUCUUGUACACACCGUGGGUCUUGGACAGACCGCCGGAGAGUUUGAUGAGUAAUACAUCGGAACGUGCCCAAUCGUGGGGGAUAACGUAGCGAAAGUUACGCUAAUACCGCAUACGAUCUACGGAUGAAAGCGGGGGAUCGCAAGACCUCGCGCGAAUGGAGCGGCCGAUGUCAGAUUAGGUAGUUGGUGGGGUAAAGGCUCACCAAGCCGACGAUCUGUAGCUGGUCUGAGAGGACGACCAGCCACACUGGGACUGAGACACGGCCCAGACUCCUACGGGAGGCAGCAGUGGGGAAUUUUGGACAAUGGGCGCAAGCCUGAUCCAGCCAUUCCGCGUGCAGGAUGAAGGCCUUCGGGUUGUAAACUGCUUUUGUACGGAACGAAACGGUUCUCUCUAAUACAGGGGGCUAAUGACGGUACCGUAAGAAUAAGCACCGGCUAACUACGUGCCAGCAGCCGCGGUAAUACGUAGGGUGCAAGCGUUAAUCGGAAUUACUGGGCGUAAAGCGUGCGCAGGCGGUUUUGUAAGACAGAGGUGAAAUCCCCGGGCUCAACCUGGGAACUGCCUUUGUGACUGCAAGGCUGGAGUACGGCAGAGGGGGAUGGAAUUCCGCGUGUAGCAGUGAAAUGCGUAGAUAUGCGGAGGAACACCGAUGGCGAAGGCAAUCCCCUGGGCCUGUACUGACACUCAUGCACGAAAGCGUGAGGGAGCAGACACGAUUAUAUACCCUGUGUAGUCCACGCCCUAAAACGAUGUCAACUGUAUGUUGCGUCUUUCACUGACUCACUAACGAAGCUCACGCGUGUAGUUUGACCGUCUGUGGAGUACGGRCCGAAAAGGUAUGACAACUCAAAAGGAAUUUGAACGGGGGASCCCCGGCGACCAAGCCAG